CCUACGGGAGGCAGCAGUGAGGAAUAUUGGUCAAUGGUCGGGAGACUGAACCAGCCAAGCCGCGUGAGGGAUGAAGGUACAGAGCAUCGUAAACCUCUUUUGUCAGGGAACAAAGGCGGGGACGUGUCCCCGGCUGAGUGUACCUGACGAAAAAGCAUCGGCUAACUCCGUGCCAGCAGCCGCGGUAAUACGGAGGAUGCGAGCGUUAUCCGGAUUUAUUGGGUUUAAAGGGUGCGCAGGCGGUCUGUUAAGUCAGCGGUCAAAGCCCGGGGCUCAACCCCGGCCCGCCGUUGAAACUGGCAGUCUCGAGUUGGAGAGAAGUAUGCGGAAUGCGCGGUGUAGCGGUGAAAUGCAUAGAUAUCGCGCAGAACUCCGAUUGCGAAGGCAGCAUGCCGGCUCCACACUGACGCUGAGGCACGAAAGCGUGGGUAUCGAACAGGAUUAGAUACCCGGGUAGUC
rnacentral:rRNA from 1 species